rnacentral:rRNA from 1 species
AUUGAACGCUGGCGGCAUGCCUUACACAUGCAAGUCGAACGGUAACGGGCCUUCGGGUGCCGACGAGUGGCGAACGGGUGAGUAAUACAUCGGAACGUGCCCGAUCGUGGGGGAUAACGAGGCGAAAGCUUUGCUAAUACCGCAUACGAUCUACGGAUGAAAGCAGGGGACCGCAAGGCCUUGCGCGGACGGAGCGGCCGAUGGCAGAUUAGGUAGUUGGUGGGAUAAAAGCUUACCAAGCCGACGAUCUGUAGCUGGUCUGAGAGGAUGAUCAGCCACACUGGGACUGAGACACGGCCCAGACUCCGACGGGAGGCAGCAGUGGGGAAUUUUGGACAAUGGGCGCAAGCCUGAUCCAGCCAUGCCGCGUGCAGGAUGAAGGCCUGCGGGUUGUAAACUGCUUUUGUACGGAACGAAAAGCCUUCUUUUAAUACAGGAGGGUCAUGACGGUACCGUAGAAUAAGCACCGGCUAACUACGUG